rnacentral:rRNA from 1 species
AACCGACUAUCGUUGAAAAGUUAGCGGAUGACCUGUGGAUCGGAGUGAAAGGCUAAUCAAGCUCGGAGAUAGCUGGUUCUCCUCGAAAGCUAUUUAGGUAGCGCCUCAUGUAUCACUGUAGGGGGUAGAGCACUGUUUCGGCUAGGGGGUCAUCCCGACUUACCAAACCGAUGCAAACUCCGAAUACCAGCAAGUGUCAGCACGGGAGACACACGGCGGGUGCUAACGUCCGUCGUGAAAAGGGAAACAACCCAGACCGUCAGCUAAGGUCCCAAAGUUAUGGUUAAGUGGGAAACGAUGUGGGAAGGCUUAGACAGCUAGGAGGUUGGCUUAGAAGCAGCCACCCUUUAAAGAAAGCGUAA